rnacentral:misc_RNA from 1 species
GAUGAAGAACGCAGCGAAAUGCGAUAAGUAAUGUGAAUUGCAGAAUUCAGUGAAUCAUCGAAUCUUUGAACGCACAUUGCGCCCGCCAGUAUUCUGGCGGGCAUGCCUGUUCGAGCGUCAUUUCAACCAUCAAGCCCCAGGCUUGUGUUAGGGACCUGCGGCUGCCGCAGGCCCUGAAAACCAGUGGCGGGCUCGCUGUCACACCGGGCGUAGUAGAUUUUAUCUCGCUCAGGGCGUGCUGCGGGUUCCGGCCGUUAAAAAGCCUUUUUUACCCAAGGUUGACCUCGGAUCAGGUAGGAAGACCCGCUGAACUUAAGCAUAUCAAUAAGCGGAGGA